rnacentral:lncRNA from 1 species
CGUGUGUCUCACUUGGAACAGUCUUCUUCACUGGCAUCUGUAGAAGGUCAACGGCAUUCCUGCGAACAGGGCAGCUGUGUGACCCCAAAGAAGUCAACUAUGAACGGACACCUUCGGAAACAUAUGGACAAGCCCAGCUUACAAUGCCACUUGUGUCCAGCUGCAUUCGUUCACAAUUCCAAGCUCUUGGCUCAUGUACGCACCCACACAGGACAGCGCCCUUUUUCCUGUGGCCACUGUA